rnacentral:rRNA from 1 species
CCUACGGGUGGCAGCAGUGAGGAAUAUUGGUCAAUGGGCGCGAGCCUGAACCAGCCAAGCAGCGUGAAGGAUGACUGCCCUACGGGUUGUAAACUUCUUUUAUAAAGGAAUAAAGUGAGGCACGUGUGCCUUUUUGUAUGUACUUUAUGAUUAAGGCUCGGCUAACUCCGUGCCAGCAGCCGCGGUAAUACGGAGGCUCCGAGCGUUAUCCGGAUUUAUUGGGUUUAAAGGGUGCGUAGAGGGGUUGUUAAGUCAGUUGUGAAAGUUUGCGGCUCAACCGUAAAAUUGCAAUUGAUACUGGCAGGCUUGAGUACAGUUGAGGUAGGCGGAAUUCGUGGUGUAGCGGUGAAAUGCUUAGAUAUCACGAAGAACUCCGAUUGCGAAGGCAGCUUACUAAACUGCCACUGACAUUGAUGCUCGAAAGUGUGGGUAUCAAACAGGAUUAGAUACCCGGGUAGUC